UACGUAGGGUGCGAGCGUUAAUCGGAAUUACUGGGCGUAAAGCGUGCGCAGGCGGCUUUGCAAGACAGAUGUGAAAUCCCCGGGCUCAACCUGGGAACUGCAUUUGUGACUGCAAGGCUAGAGUACGGCAGAGGGGGAUGGAAUUCCGCGUGUAGCAGUGAAAUGCGUAGAUAUGCGGAGGAACACCGAUGGCGAAGGCAAUCCCCUGGGCCUGCACUGACGCUCAUGCACGAAAGCGUGGGGAGCAAACAGG
rnacentral:rRNA from 1 species